rnacentral:lncRNA from 1 species
AAACCCGGGUAUGGGAUCUUUGGAAAAUAGAAGGCAGCAAGAAAGCCAAGAAGAAUUUGCCAUCGGAAGAAAAGAUUUCGCAAAAUGGAUAUGCCAGUGAGCAGAGAAAUGAUGACGACAGAGGUACGGAAAAGGAAGAGGAAGCACCUGCGCCUAUAUGAGGCUCAUGGCGGAUAAAGGGAAGAGGAAGCACCUGCUCCUAUAUGAGGCUCAUGGCGGAUAUUUCUUGUACACGCUGUAACAUUGAACAGCUCAGUAGUUCUUUUUAUGUGUAGUUGAGCAUUAUCUGAAUACAAAGAAAAUGUGAAAUUCAAACUAGGACUGUUUUUUGUUCUUUU